CAGCACCUCAAGUGGGUCAGGAUGAUUAUUGGGCCUAAAGCAUCCGUAGCCUGCUUUGUAAGUUUUCGGGUUAAAUCCAUACGCUCAACGUAUGGGCUGCCGGGAAUACUGCAAAGCUAGGGAGUGGGAGAGGUAGACGGUACUCGGUAGGAAGGGGUAAAAUCCUUUUAUCUAUUGAUGACCACCUGUGGCGAAGGCGGUCUACCAGAACACGUCCGACGGUGAGGGAUGAAAGCUGGGGGAGCAAACCGGAUUAGAUACCCGGGUAGUCCCAGCUGUAAACUAUGCAAACUCGGUGAUGCAUUGGCUUGAUGCCAAUGCAGUGCCGCAGGGAAGCCGUUAAGUUUGCCGCCUGGGAAGUACGUACGCAAGUAUG
rnacentral:rRNA from 1 species